CGUCAUAGGAGCCGUGCAGAAUGUUGGGAGAGUUCUGACUUCCAUUCCUCAUUGGUGGAAGGCAGCCCCGGGAACACUGUCUACCCUGCACCUUCUGGCAGAUGUGGCCUGCAAGGAGGCUGAGCAGGCUCCGGCAGCACCAGAAAGAGCCUCAGGUAUGCAGCUUGAGAGUGGAUGCAGGCAGCAUACAGGGAACUGUUCAUCACAGCCGCGGGGAAUCAGAGGCAGCUUGGAUAAUGGGGCUGCUCUGUGGUUAAAUGAGAAGAAACACGCCCAGUGCCUGGUACACAAAUACCAGCAGGGUAGUGAGGUCACUGUCUUCGUUCUGGAGCAUAAAGACCUGAGGCUCUGGAAAGAGAGGACCAGGCUCUUCCUGAACCUCUGCUUCGUCAACUGUAAAACAGAGUUGCAAGGGGACAAGGCCAGGGAGAGGAGGCCCAGAGCAGGCCGCAGGUAUCCCGCACAGUUGUGGCAGCAGCUCCUGCGUUUCCCAGUGGCCCCCUCUUCAUUCCAUUCACCUGAGACUGUGACUGGUGGACAGCCGGCCAGCACCCCGCCCUGGGCUCCGCUGUGCCCCAAUCUGCUCUGCCAAGACGGCAGAGCUUCCAAGACCUGAGGCCACCUUUCACCUUCCUUUGGGCCUCAGCCUUAGGUCUCCCUGCUUCUGGCCCGUGUGUCACCCCCAGCAAAGAGGAACAGUGGCCCAGGUCUUCAAAACUCAACCAGUAUGCCAGACAGCUGGAAGCUAUGUCAGAAUUAGAUUUCACUGCUUAUUUAUUUUGAUCCAUUUUUCUACCAAAACUCUCUUUUCUGC
rnacentral:lncRNA from 1 species